UACGUAGGGAGCAAGCGUUGUCCGGAUUCACUGGGUGUAAAGGGUGCGCAGGCGGAUUGGCAAGUCAGAGGUGAAAUCUCACGGCUCAACCGUGAAACUGCCUUUGAUACUGCUGAUCUUGAGUUAGGGAGAGGUUGAUGGAAUUCUAGGUGUAGCGGUGAAAUGCGUAGAUAUCUAGAAGAACACCAGUGGCGAAGGCGGUCAACUGGACCCUAAACUGACGCUCAUGCACGAAAGCGUGG
rnacentral:rRNA from 1 species